rnacentral:rRNA from 1 species
GGUUAAGCGAUUAAGCGUACACGGUGGAUGCCCUGGCAGUCAGAGGCGAUGAAGGGCGUGCUAAUCUGCGAUAAGCGCCGGUAAGGUGAUAUGAACCGUUAUAACCGGCGAUACCCGAAUGGGGAAACCCAGUGUGACUCGUCACACUAUCAUUAACUGAAUCCAUAGGUUAAUGAGGCGAACCGGGGGAACUGAAACAUCUAAGUACCCCGA